AAAGUCCUGAGGAAAAUUUAUUUAUCCUAAUGUGUUUGUUAUGGUCCCACUUUACUGAAAAUUGUUGCAUUUUAAUAUUUUUAACAGAUGAGGAUCCUCAUGAUCAACUAAAGAAAAGAACUAGAAAGCAUAAACUGAAGAAAAAAUUUAAAAAUUCCAAUAACGUUCAUGUAGAACAAACAGAAUUGGAGCAACAGCAGAGCCUUUUACACGCAAAAUUACAGCCACAGCAUACAGAUGGCCCCACAAUAAGCAAAAAUAAGAAAAGGAAGCUGAAAAAGAAACGGCAGAUUAGAAAGAAGAGAGCCGCUGGCUUAGUGACCAAGGCCUCAAGUGCCAGCUUUACGUACCAGCCUGAGGAGAGUGACAGUGAGCAGGAAGAUAUCCCCAGAGCCGCUGGAGGUGGAGUCGCCAACACCACGGAGGAGGCCGCAGGGGAUGUCAGCACAGAGGACGAUACAGCCCCCUCCCAGGAAGUCAUGGAGAUCACCAACAGGAGGACCGAUGGCAUCCUGAAUUUUCUGAGGUCAACUCAAGAAAUGUAUUUCUAUGAUGGUGUCUCCAAAGACACGGAUUCAGCUGUCCAUGUGGAAACUGCUGAAGAGCUGCUCCGUUGUCUUGAGUCUCACCACGUGGCUCCCUCAGAUGUGCUCAUUCUGGACCAUAUGAAAACGCUGCUACUUGUGCAUGACACAGCAAGACUGCAGCGUGCCCUGCAGCUGCUCCCGGAGCACUGCACUAUGCCUCUUGGUGAGUAUCACACGUGUGCUCAACACGCUGCCUCACACGCACUGGUCAUGGUUGCCCUGGAAACCCACCAACAACAAAGGGUCAGGAAAUACAGCGGUGUACACAUGUCCUGGGGAGAGUAGAAUCCCACAAAGAAUGGGCUUCAUGUGCCUCUGCUUGAUACAAUUGUUGCAGAAGUGUAUGGGCCAUCUAAUUUUUCAGACUUGUGAGGUAUUGCCUCUCAGCCAAUUUUUCUAAGUUUAAACAAUAUUAGAAUUCAUUUCUUUCCCGCUGGGCGUGGUGGUGCACACCUGUAAUCCCAGCACUCAGGAGGCUGAGGCAGGAGGAUCGUUGCGAGUUCGAAACCAACCUGAGCUACAAAGUGAGCUCAAGGCCAGCCUGAACUGCAUAGCAAGACCCUGUCU
rnacentral:lncRNA from 1 species